CUGGGAGGCCUCAGUGUCUCCUCUCCUUUGGGAGAACGGAAGGACGCCUGCGGCCUACGUGUCACGCCAGAGAACCAAAGAAGUGAAGUUUUGCUCCAGGUGAAAAAGCUACUUGAUGACAAGGUCAAAUCUGCUGAUUACCAGUCCAGUGCUCUUCCCAAUAAACCACACUAUCCCUCAU